rnacentral:rRNA from 1 species
GACGAACGCUGGCGGCGUGCUUAACACAUGCAAGUCGAACGGAAAGGCCUGCUUUCCCUUGUGGAUUGCGGGUACUCGAGUGGCGAACGGGUGAGUAACACGUGAGUGAUCUGCCCCCAACUUGGGUAUAAGCCUGGGAAACUGGGUCUAAUUCCCGAUAGGACUGCAGGGUGGUGCCUGUGGUGGAACACGAUUUUCUAGUGGUUGGGGAUGAGCUCGCGGCCUAUCAGCUUGUUGGUGGGGUAAUGGCCUACCAAGGCGGCGACGGGUAGCCGGCCUGGGAGGGUGGACGGCCACAUUGGGACUGGGAUACGGCCCAGACUCCUACGGGAGGCAGCAGUGGGGAAUAUUGCACAAUGGGCGGAAGCCUGAUGCAGCGACGCCGCGUGGGGGAUGACGGCCUUCGGGUUGUAAACUCCUUUCGACCGCGAGGAAGCCACCUGGUUGGAAGGGUGGUGACGGUAGUGGUAGAAGAAGCACCGGCUAACUACGU